rnacentral:rRNA from 1 species
GUAAGGAAUAUUGGACAAUGGACGCAAGUCUGAUCCAGCCAUGCCGCGUGAAGGAUUAAGGUCCUCUGGAUUGUAAACUUCUUUUAUAAGGGACGAAAAAAGGCUUUUCUAAGUCGUCUGACGGUACCUUAUGAAUAAGCACCGGCUAACUCCGUGCCAGCAGCCGCGGUAAUACGGAGGGUGCAAGCGUUAUCCGGAUUCACUGGGUUUAAAGGGUGCGUAGGCGGGCAGGUAAGUCAGUGGUGAAAUCCUAGAGCCUAACUCUAGAACUGUCAUUGAUACUAUCUGUCUUGAAUAUUGUGGAGGUAAGCGGAAUAUGUCAUGUAGCGGUGAAAUGCUUAGAUAUGACAUAGAACACCUAUUGCGAAGGCAGCUUACUACGCAUAUAUUGACGCUGAGGCACGAAAGCGUGGGGAUCAAACAGGAUUAGAUACCCUAGUAGUCC